AUUGAACGCUGGCGGCAGGCCUAACACAUGCAAGUCGAACGAGUGGCGGACGGGUGAGUAAUGUCUGGGAAACUGCCUGAUGGAGGGGGAUAACUACUGGAAACGGUAGCUAAUACCGCAUACCAUCGGAUGUGCCCAGAUGGGAGUAGCUAGUGGGUGGGGUAAAGGCUCACAUAGGCGACGAUCCCUAGCUGGUCUGAGAGGAUGACCAGCCACACUGGAACUGAGCCACGGUCCAGACGCCUACGUGAGGCAGCAUUGGGGACUAUUGCACCAUGGGCGCAAGCCUGAUGCAGCCAUGCCGCGUGUAUGAAGAAGGCCUUCGGGUUGUAAAGUACUUUCAGCGGGGAGGCGUUACCCGCAGAAGAAGCACCGGCUAACUCCGUGCCAGCAGCCGCGGUAAUUC
rnacentral:rRNA from 1 species